GUGCCAGCCGCCGCGGUAAUACGUAGGGUCCAAGCGUUAAUCGGAAUUACUGGGCGUAAAGCGUGCGCAGGCGGUUGUGCAAGACCGAUGUGAAAUCCCCGAGCUUAACUUGGGAAUUGCAUUGGUGACUGCACGGCUAGAGUGUGUCAGAGGGGGGUAGAAUUCCACGUGUAGCAGUGAAAUGCGUAGAGAUGUGGAGGAAUACCGAUGGCGAAGGCAGCCCCCUGGGAUAACACUGACGCUCAUGCACGAAAGCGUGGGGAGCAAACAGGAUUAGAAACCCUGGUAGUCCA
rnacentral:rRNA from 1 species